GCCUGCUUGACUGACUUUCUUUAAAUAUUGUGUUCCUGAACAACUCCUCAAAGGCCAAUCCUGAAAUCCACGAAUUAGGGAUGGUGAUGUGUUAUUUCAAAAGGGGCAUUGUCUCAACUUGGUUGUUUAGCCUUUGGGAGAGUUUAUAAAACACCUAUGUAUACAGGGAGUGCAGAAUUAUUAGGCAAAUGAGUAUUUUGACCACAUCAUCCUCUUUAUGCAUGUUGUCUUACUCCAAGCUGUAUAGGCUCGAAAGCCUACUACCAAUUAAGCAUAUUAGGUGAUGUGCAUCUCUGUAAUGAGAAGGGGUGUG